UACGUAGGGUCCGAGCGUUGUCCGGAAUUAUUGGGCGUAAAGGGCUCGUAGGCGGUUUGUCGCGUCGGGAGUGAAAUCCACUGGCUUAACUGGUGGCUUGCUUUCGAUACGGGCAGACUGGAGGUAUGCAGGGGAGAACGGAAUUCCUGGUGUAGCGGUGAAAUGCGCAGAUAUCAGGAGGAACACCGGUGGCGAAGGCGGUUCUCUGGGCAGUAACUGACGCUGAGGAGCGAAAGCGUGGGGAGCGAACAGG
rnacentral:rRNA from 1 species